UCCUAAGCAUAAAAAAUAUCUGUACUUGACCAGCCCCGACCAACCAGACCAUUACCAGGAGGUUACUGCACAAAACAGAGGUCUUGUCUCCUAACUGUGCUCUGGUUAGAUCCAACUUUGAACUAACAGCUUCCAGAGGAGCGUUAAUGAAUUACUUCUUUCCCUGUUCCAUGAAGAAUUGUUCUCACUUCACUGAUGGAAAAACGGAGGCAGAAACGCUAACAGCAGAAGUGUGGCUCAAAGCAGGGGGUCAGGCAACAAAUGUGUGAGACCUCCUGAUGUCUCAGGAGCCCCUGCAGGCUGUAUUUUCUUCUAAGCAAGGCCCUAGCUGAUGUUGCAGCACCAUCCAUCAUGCCAGCAACCAGCACGGCUCUGGGGACACGAUCUGUUAGUCACCAUUGUCUUCGUUAGCUAGCUCUCCAACAGCACAAACCCUACAGCUUUCAGAAAAUUUCCAGCAAUGGACAAGAAGUGGCUUCACAAAAACCGGGCCAACUGCAAUGCGUCCAUUGAUUUGAACCAACCAAAGCCACCAACCCAAGAGACGUUCUCUGCCACACAUCAGCGUUCAGAGGCAGUUUACCCUUUGGAUCAAAAUGAGAUGUGGCCUCUCGAAUCUAGUUUUCCUCUCUUCUUAGAAGCAUGUAAGGUACAGGAACCAUGGAUGGAAACCAUAUGUAUCUAGAUGUAUCUGGACUUCCCGCUUUUUUUAAUUUGCUUUUUAUUUAUAAAUACAAAACAUACAGGCAGCACAAGUAUUGUAGCAAGCACCAGUGCACAGGAGUACAAAUUAGUAUGCUGCAUCAAAAGGAUAAAGAAGAGGGCUCAGAGAACGAGGAGAGUAAUUUACUGUGCUCUGGUCUCAGCUGCCAGUGAUUGCGACGGGAACUUGGCAGAUGUUUUUUGAUAAAGGUUGUUUCUUGUUGCUGCAACAGCGGCAAAAUCCAUUGUAUUACUCUAUAGGACUUUGCACAUCAUGAUUCUGCCAUCGCAGUUAGCCUUAACAGCUGGAUGAUAAAAAAAAAAAAAAAUUGUUCCAGUGGAUUAUUUGAAAUUUGUCAUGUUGAUUUAGUUUCAUUACUGUUAUUAAAUUUUAUUCUGGAAUGGUUUACAUAUCAAGAAUACAUAAUGGGUUUCUGUGUGGCCUGGGAUUUAUUCCUUGAAUGAGGAAAGGACUCUACUGUGACAAAGUCAUAAAGCCUUAUUGACUUGAUCCUUUGCCAUAAACACAGGAUUC